rnacentral:RNase_P_RNA from 1 species
UGAGUUGGUUGGAUGAUCGCUGGUAUUUAUACUAGAGGAAAGUCCGGACUUCACAGAGCAGGGCGCCAGGUAACGCCUGGGAGGCGCGAGCCUACGGAGAGUGCAACAGAAAGUGUACCGCCAAUUUUUAAUUGGUAAGGGUGAAAAGGUGGGGUAAGAGCCUACCGCUUAACUGGAGACAGGUAAGGCAUUGUAAACCCCAGCCCGAAGCAAAACCAAAUAGAAAUCCUAUUAAGCUGCUCGCUUAGGAUUUGGGUAGGUUGCUAGAGUAUUAUGGCAACAUAAUAUCGAGAUAGAUGAUCAUCUUUUACAGAAUCCGGCUUACAGACCAACUCAUUUG